GCAGGAGGUCAGGUAGCAACAUUGCUUGGCUGUAGGGCUGCUGUGAAUGUCUCAGAGGAAAGGGGGAGCUGCAAGGGGAUGGAACAGAAGUUAGACUCACUGGUCUGUAGUUUCCCAUGCUGCUUGCAAGUUCUUCACUUCCUCAGGGGACCCAUACAGAGUUUCAACUAGAAGCCCAGUAAAAGGAGUUAUAAUCUGUUCCUAUCAUUGGACCAUAUUCUUAUGUCUCUUGUAAAGCUUUUACAUUAUACAAGUUCUCUAGAAAUGUAAACACUUAAAAAUGUAAUGGAUAAGAAACAAAGACAGACAAUCAUUAAAUACAUACGACAUUCAGGCAGAAGUUAAAAACUUUUCUUGGGUUUUGCUCUGGUGAGAUUCAAUGCCCUAAAUUUCACUUUGAAAUUUGAGUUCAGAUUAACUCAAGUUAUCAAGAGUUGCACCAAGCCAUGUGAAACCACAAACAGAUACUUUUAAUACAAAGACUGUUUUGGCCUAUGCUUUUCACAAUGGGGUGUAAAAUGUUUAAAGAAAAUUGGCAAAAUUGAUCCCAUUUUGUAUCAAAUCCUCACACAAAGAAUCUUUAUGUAGGUUUGCAUUUCUGUGAGAGCAUUCUACAUUGAUCAGUGUAGACCUGAUCAAAAACACUCUAAAUAGGCUUCAUUGGGCCUUUAAAUUGGGGCUUAUACCAUUUUUCCUAAUACCAGCGCAUCUAUUCUAAAUCUUGCUGACAUUUUUUUGUGCUCACACACAUGAUGUGGAUGCUGGCUGUAGCUCUACUAGCAGUAGAAUUCACCUCUCUUUUAACUGGGUAAUGACAUGAAUCCAAAGGCAUUCUUCCUUUCUUGAUGUGCAUGUCUCUAUUUUGUAAGUAAACAUAUAACAUCAUAUGUAGUAAAGUUAAUUAUAGCCUAUAUUAUACUUGUUAACAGAUUUGCUUUAUAUGUCCAAUGUGAAAAUUCACUCCAAUUCAUGUAUUCACUUACUUUGAAUCUGGGGUUAUGUACUCAGUUGCAAUGCAAAAACUGUGACAUGGCACUACUGUGCAGUAGUAUUAGGCUAGAGAGAGAGAUCAAUUGGGCAAUGUUUUAUUGAUAUAUUUACAAUUUUAAAGCAAUUUAGAAGUCUACCACUCUAUCAUCAUAAUAAAAUAAAUUUUAAAUAUCUAUAUGUUUUGAUGUUUGCAUUUGGUUUUCUUAUCACAGAACAAUUACAACUUCCCCUGACCCCUUUACUAACUAGGUUGUGGGCACAGCGGCCCCUGUAGCCACAGCUCCUGCCAGCAGAUCUCAUUUUGUCUGGCAGAUGGGCAUGAUUCAUAGAUGUUAGGGUCGGAAGGGACCUCAAUAGAUCAUCGAGUCCGACCCCCUGCAUAAGCAGGAAAGAAUGCUGGGUCUAGAUGACCCCAGCUAGAUACUCAUCUAACCUCCUCUUGAAGACCCCCAGGGUAGGGGAGAGCACCACCUCCCUUGGGAGCCCAUUCCAGACCCUGGCCAC